UGGGGAAUAUUGGACAAUGGGCGAAAGCCUGAUCCAGCCAUGCCGCGUGUGUGAAGAAGGCCUUUUGGUUGUAAAGCACUUUAAGUGGGGAGGAAAAGCUUGUGGUUAAUACCCAUAAGCCCUGACGUUACCCACAGAAUAAGCACCGGCUAACUCUGUGCCAGCAGCCGCGGUAAUACAGAGGGUGCAAGCGUUAAUCGGAAUUACUGGGCGUAAAGCGCGCGUAGGUGGUUAUUUAAGUCAGAUGUGAAAGCCCCGGGCUUAACCUGGGAACUGCAUCUGAUACUGGAUAACUAGAGUAGGUGAGAGGGGAGUAGAAUUCCAGGUGUAGCGGUGAGAUGCGUAGAGAUCUGGAGGAAUACCGAUGGCGAAGGCAGCUCCCUGGCAUCAUACUGACACUGAGGUGCGAAAGCGUGGGUAGCAAACAGGAUUAGAUACCCUGGUAGUCCACGCCGUAAACGAUGUCUACCAGUCGUUGGGUCUUUUAAAGACUUAGUGACGCAGUUAACGCAAUAAGUAGACCGCCUGGGGAGUACGGCCGCAAGGUUA
rnacentral:rRNA from 1 species